rnacentral:rRNA from 1 species
UACGGAGGGUGCGAGCGUUGUCCGGAAUCACUGGGCGUAAAGGGCGCGUAGGCGGCCUCUUAAGCGUGCGGUGAAAGCCCGGGGCUCAACCCCGGGUCGGCCGUGCGAACUGGGGGGCUGGAGCACUGUAGAGGCGGGUGGAAUUCCGGGUGUAGCGGUGGAAUGCGUAGAGAUCCGGAAGAACACCGGUGGCGAAGGCGGCCCGCUGGGCAGUGGCUGACGCUGAGGCGCGACAGCGUGGGGAGCAAAC